AUUGAACGCUGGCGGCAGGCCUAACACAUGCAAGUCGAGCGGAGAUGAGGUGCUUGCACCUUAUCUUAGCGGCGGACGGGUGAGUAAUGCUUAGGAAUCUGCCUAUUAGUGGGGGACAACAUUCCGAAAGGAAUGCUAAUACCGCAUACGCCCUACGGGGGAAAGCAGGGGAUCUUCGGAUCUUGCGCUAAUAGAUGAGCCUAAGUCGGAUUAGCUAGUUGGUGGGGUAAAGGCCUACCAAGGCGACGAUCUGUAGCGGGUCUGAGAGGAUGAUCCGCCACACUGGGACUGAGACACGGCCCAGACUCCUACGGGAGGCAGCAGUGGGGAAUAUUGGACAAUGGGCGGAAGCCUGAUCCAGCCAUGCCGCGUGUGUGAAGAAGGCCUUUUGGUUGUAAAGCACUUUAAGCGAGGAGGAGGCUACCUGGAUUAAUACUCUAGGAUAGUGGACGUUACUCGCAGAAUAAGCACCGGCUAACUCUGUGCCAGCCGCCGCGGUAACAC
rnacentral:rRNA from 1 species